UACGGAGGGUGCGAGCGUUGUCCGGAAUCAUUGGGCGUAAAGGGCGCGUAGGUGGCCCGGUCAGUCUUUGGUGAAAGCGCGGGGCUCAACCCUGCGUCGGCCAGGGAUACUGCCGCGGCUCGAGCACUGUAGAGGCAGGCGGAAUUCCGGGUGGUAGCGGUGGAAUGCGUAGAGAUCCGGAAGAACACCGGUGGCGAAGGCGGCCUGCUGGGCAGUAGCUGACACUGAGGCGCGACAGCGUGGGGAGCAACAGG
rnacentral:rRNA from 1 species